rnacentral:rRNA from 1 species
UACGGAGGGUGCUAGCGUUGUUCGGAAUCACUGGGCGUAAAGGGCGUGUAGGCGGUCUGUUAAGUCUGAUGUGAAAUCCCCUCGCUCAACGAGGGAACUGCGUCGGAUACUGGCAGACUUGAGUACCGGAGAGGAAGGUGGAAUUCCCGGUGUAGCGGUGAAAUGCGUAGAUAUCUGGAGGAACACCGGUGGCGAAGGCGGCAUCCUGGACCGAGAUUGACGCUGAGGCGCGAAAGCCAGGGGAGCAAACGGG